rnacentral:tRNA from 1 species
CGGGAUGUGGCGCAGCCUGGUAGCGCACCUGACUGGGGGUCAGGGGGUCGCCAGUUCGAAUCUGGCCAUCCCGACCA